rnacentral:snRNA from 1 species
GUGCUUGCUUCGGCAGCACAUAUACUGAAAUUGGAAUGAUACAGAGAAGAUUAGCAUGGCCCCUGUGCAAGGAUGACAUGCAAAUUCAUGAAGCAUUCCAUAUUUUU